rnacentral:rRNA from 1 species
GAUGAACGCUGGCGGCGUGCCUAAUACAUGCAAGUCGAGCGAACGGACGAGAACUUUGCGUCUCUGAUGUUAGCCGCGGACGUGUGAGUAACAUGUGGAUAACCUACCUAUAAGACUGGGAUAACUGCGGGAAACCGGAUCUAACACCGUAUAAUAUCUUGAACCGCAUGGUUCAAAAGUGAAAGACGGUCUUGCUGUCACUUAUAGAUGGUCCCGCGCUGCAUUAGCUAGUUGGUAAGGUAACGGCCUACCAAGGCAAGGAUGGAUAGCCGACCUGAGAGGGUGAUCGCCCACACUGGAGCUGGUACGCGGUCCAGACGCCUACGGUAGGCAGCAGUAGGGAAUCUUCCGCAAUAGGCGAAAGCCUGACGGAGCAACGCCGCGUGAGUGAUGAAGGUCCUCGGAUCGUAAAACUCUGUUACUAGGGAAGAACAUAUGUGUAAGUAAAUGUGCAGAUCUUGACGGUACCUGAUCAGAAAGCCCCGGCUAACUACGUG